rnacentral:rRNA from 1 species
UGGGGGAUAUUGCACAAUGGGCGAAAGCCUGAUGCAGCGACGCCGCGUGGGGGAUGAAGGCCUUCGGGUUGUAAACUUCUUUUGCUCUGAACAAGGCAUGCUAAUGGGUGUGUUGAGUGUAGGGGUUGAUUAGCGCCGGCUAACUACGUGCCAGCAGCCGCGGUAAUACGUAGGGCGCGAGCGUUGUCCGGAAUUAUUCGGCGUAAAGGGCUUGUAGGUGGCUGGUCGCGUCUGUCGUGAAAGCUCAUGGCUUAACUGUGGGUUUGCGGUGGGUACGGGCUGGCUUGAGUGCAGUAGGGGAGGCUGGAAUUCCUGGUGUAGCGGUGGAAUGCGCAGAUAUCAGGAGGAAUACCGGUGGCGAAGGCGGGUCUCUGGGCUGUUACUGACACUGAGGAGCGAAAGCAUGGGGAGCGAACAGG